rnacentral:rRNA from 1 species
GAUGAACGCUGGCGGCGUGCCUAAUACAUGCAAGUCGAGCGCACAUACGAUCAGCUUUCUCCGCUCACGUUAGCGGCGAGCGGGUGAGGAACAGUUAGUUAACCGACCUUAAACUCUGGAAUAACGGCGGAAAACCCUAGGUAACACCGGAUAAUAUAUUAAACCACAUUAUUCAGUAUUGAAUAAGGGUUUUACUGUCUCUUAUAGGUGGAUCCUCGGCGCAUUAGCUAGUUGGUAAGGUAACGGCUUACCAAGGCAACGAUGCGUAGCCGACCUGAGAGGGUGAUCGGCCACACUGGAACUGAGACACGGUCCAGACUCCUACGGGAGGCAGCAGUAGGGAAUCUUCCGCAAUGGGCGAAAGUCUGACGGAGCAACGCCGCGUGAGUGAAGAAGGUCUUCGGAUCGUAAAACUCUGUUAUUAGGGAAGAACAAGUGCGUAAGUAACUAUGCACGUCUUGACGGUAUCUAACCAGAAAGCCACGGCUAACUACGUG